GAUGAACGCUGGCGGCGUGCCUAAUACAUGCAAGUCGAGCGAACGGACGAGAAGCUUGCUUCUCUGAUGUUAGCGGCGGACGGGUGAGUAACACGUGGAUAACCUACCUAUAAGACUGGGAUAACUUCGGGAAACCGGAGCUAAUACCGGAUAAUAUUUUGAACCGCAUGGUUCAAAAGUGAAAGACGGUCUUGCUGUCACUUAUAGAUGGAUCCGCGCUGCAUUAGCUAGUUGGUAAGGUAACGGCUUACCAAGGCAACGAUGCAUAGCCGACCUGAGAGGGUGAUCGGCCACGCUGGAACUGAGACACGGCCCAGACUCCUACGGGAGGCAGCAGUAGGGAAUCUUCCGCAAUGGGCGAAAGCCUGACGGAGCAACGCCGCGUGAGUGAUGAAGGUCUUCGGAUCGUAAAACUCUGUUAUUAGGGAAGAACAUAUGUGUAAGUAACUGUGCACAUCUUGACGGUACCUAAUCAGAAAGCCACGGCGAACUACGU
rnacentral:rRNA from 1 species